rnacentral:rRNA from 1 species
CCCUUCGAUGUUCUGGGCCGCACACGCGCUACACUGAAGGAGGCAGCGUGUACUCCUGGAUCGAAAGAUUUGGGUAACCCGCGAAUCUCCUUCGUGCUAGGGAUUGAGGUUUGCAAUUAUCCUUCAUGAACGAGGAAUUCCCAGUAAGUGCAAGUCAUAAGCUUGCGCUGACUACGUCCCUGCCCUUUGUACACACCGCCCGUCGCUACUACCGAUUGAAUGAUUUAGUGAGGACUUCGGACUGGGACCGAUGCGGCUUUCGGGCUGCGUCGGUAUUCUGGAAAGAUGUCCAAACUGUAUCAUUUAGAGGAAGUAAAANUCGUAACA